UUCAAAACAACUGGAUGCUAAUCACCCCUCUGCCACCAUCACACGUGCCCACAAAAAUCCCACUCCCUCGUGUGGAAAUGGGGCUGGACCCUGCGCAUCUGGAAGUGACUGAGAAUCCAGUGAUUACAUCUCAAAUUGCAGGUGCUUUUCCCAUGCUGGUGUGGGGUCAUGCAUCUGCUCUAUUUCCAUGCUAUGUAUACCUGCGUAUACAGUUACUGCUUAAUCAAUGCAGACGCUCACGAAGCAAGGCUGUGGCCUGGCAAGGGCGGGCACGCGGACUCUGCCGAGGCACUCAAAGGCUGCACCGUUGGAAAGGUGGGAGGCUACAGAGAAGAGUGGAAGAGCUUCCCCUGAGGACACUCACAGGGGAGUGGAGACUGGGAACGCACCAGCAGGGCCUGCAAACAGCACCACAGCUUCCUGCCAGCCACAGAUGUAGCUGGACAGUGUGCUCGACCUGAAAUGCCCAGCAGACAGCCUGGAACAGAAACCCGGCUGCAACCCAAGCCAGCACACAUGGGGAGACAGAGCUGUCGGCCAGCUCCCUGAGCUCAGCAGGGCUCUGUGGUGGAGCCUGCACAUGGUGAGAAUCUUGCCAAGCCUGGUCCACGACACGGCAGAUCGGAAAGUGACGUGGAGAGGGAAAGGUCAGGCGGCCGGACCUCCUGCGGCUGGGAGCAGGUGGCUGCUCGAGCCAGAGGGCCAAGUGGCUCAGCUCACAGGCCCAGGUAGUAGCAGUGACUCUGUCGAUCAUCACAGGCCCUGGCUGCAAGCGCCGAGAAGGCAAGUGUGGUCCCCCACUGUCAUGGCUGGGACACUCCAGGAAACUGCUCUGAUCCAGGACACACUUCUGCCACUAUGACGUUCUGCCUCGUAACAGGCCCAGAAGUACGGAGCUAAGUGACAGAGACUGGACCUUCUGAAACCCUAAGUCAACGCAAUUCCCCACCCCAACCCCCCAAAGCUGUUCUCCAUCAGGCAUUUUGGAACAAUCAUGUAAAGGUGACAAACACAAUACUCAUUCUGUGACUUUACGCUCUGUGACGUCUGAAGUCCCCUGCGUGACCUCCUCACAUCUGAGGAAAGCAGCCCCAAGAGAAUCAAGGACACUGUCACGGGAGAGAGGGGCUGGCACCGCUCACUCCGCCCAUAUGGGCACGGCAGCCUCACACAGCACCAGGAUGAGCACUGAGGCCCUCCCACUAACAGCCCUGUGUGGGAAGGACGUGCCGCAAAGCUCUUCCAGACAGCAGCUGGCAGGGGGAGGGCCAGGCUGCCCUGUGUUCUCAGCGAGGCUCUCCAUGACCAUUCCAGAUGUGCUUGCACAUGGCAGCUGCACCCCUUGUCCAGCUGGGGACACAGAAAUGGAAGAGUCUGUAGCGUAGCACACUGGGUUCCUCUGCUCCCUACACCGGACUGUCCAGGGUGCUGUGGCUUUCCAGUUUAUGGACCAGCUGUCACUCACAGCCAGUCAGCAGCCCGAAGCCAGCAUUCGGGGUCCACUUCCAACUUGACAUCGAACAAAUGAAGGUCUGGGGAGACGGCUCAGGAGUUAAGUGCCUUUGGGAAGCCAGCUUGAGAGCCCGAGUUCAAAUCUCUGGCACUCACGUAAGAAAGGCUGGGUGUGGCUGCACUCAGGCCCGUAACCUCAGCGCCGGGAUGGAGACAGGCUUCCCGGCUGACAGCCUCACUCUGGCUUUAGUGAGGGACUCUGUAUUAGAGGAAUAGCGUGGACAAUGACGACAUAGCAGGGCAUCUGACAGCUUCCUCUGGCCUCUGUGUAUGAGCCUGGACGUGUGGAACUCCAUCCACACGGACGCACAUGCUACACACACACACACACACACACACACACACACACACACACACAUACACACACACAUCGAACAAAUGGGCCUUGUUUCUUCUUUCUUUAAGUGACCUCACCACCAAAGCGAUCCUGUUGUGGUUUGGAAAAAGCAGCAUUUCCUGGCCAGGCUCAGCCCAAAGUCAGCAAGUGCCGCUGGGCUCUGGCCGAGUGGCAGCCCAGAGCAGGGAGAGCCAGGCACAAUGCUCAUCCUGGGGGCUUUAUCUCAGCAAGGCCUGUGACAUCCUGCUAUAUAGGAUUUGUGAUAUAUAUAUGCAACCUUAUAAAAACAGAGACCUCUAAGCCAUAAUCGAUGAGUGAGGCUGAGCCCGACCACAGGCUGGCGCUGGGGGUGAGUGAGAUAUGAACAACUCACGUUUUUAUUAUCUGCAAGUUCUUCGCAGGGCCACUGAGGGCACAGGCCUGUCUGUACAGGAAGAUAUGGUACAAUGUCUGACCUUGUUUGGGCUUAAAAGCCUCCAAGUAACUUGUCCCAGCACUUAGAGGUGCAUCAAAGCCAAAUGUCUCCAAAGACUGGGCCCCGAGCCACCAGGAGAGGAAAAGAGGCCAUGGGCUUGGCAGGAGUGUGUCAUCUGAGUGGAGGUUGGAACCAGGCCCUGGGGAGUGAAAUUGCUCUGAGGUGAGGACAAAGGUUUUCCUAUACCAUACUGCAGCCCAGCCUCACUCAGCUCUAUGGCUAUGAGGCCAUAUACUGUGCUGAGCCCUAGAGAGUAAGGCAUGGGUAGGAGGAAGAAUUUGGGGCUAAGUUGGGCAUAUUCUAUGAUUACUUAGAAAGAUUCUAGGAGCACCUCUUUGUCCCCCCACAUUUGUAAAGUGAGGAAAUAGGGCUCUGCAUGGACACACUUUUUCUAAAGGCAAAACCUCGACCCCUACGGACAAAGGGUGCAUCUGGCCCUUGGAGUCAGUGUGUGGGAACUGGAGAGUGGCACUCUCUCGGCUCAUAGGAUGGCUCAGCCUCCCUUCUGUCCUCCGUCCUCCAGUCUCAGAGGACCCAGAGGAGCCCUCGUGAACUUGUGAGUUCAGGGUUGAGGGGAGCCAGAGCCGGGCAGCACAGCGCAGAGCAGGUGCCCUGUCUCAGAUC